CUCAUAUCUUUUUCUCUCUUAUGUUCUUUUUCUUCUCUUUCUUUCUUUCUUCUUCUUUUUCUCUUCUUCUCUUUCCCUUCUCUGUUCUUCUUUUGUCAAAGAUCGAGUGAUAAAUUUGAGGUAUGGUUUGAGAGAAUAAUUUUUGAGGAAGAGCAUAUCAAGUGGAAGAUGUUGAUGAUGUUGAUGUUAUUGAACUCAGGAGGGGAAUGAAUAGAUGCUUUUAUAAUUGGAAUCACGGUUCGAGAAUGAAUUCGAGUUCUCUUGUGAACUCGUGGGUUAUUUGGGAUGUUGUUAGUUGAAGAUUAGAAGGGUUGGUGUUUAAUUAACGUCCUGAAGUAGUUUUGAUGAAGAAUCAAGAGUUAGGGUUUCCUUAAAGAUUUCAGAUGAAAUUGAAGAUGAGGAAGAUGAUAUUGAGAGAUAUAGUAGAUGGGUUUUGUUGGUUUGAAGAAAUAAGUUAUUGUUUGAGUGAAUUAGGGUUAAGGAUGAAGAUUAAUUUGAAAUUAAAGAAGUUAGGGUUGUGAAUCUGUGAUUGUUUGAAGUUGCGAAUGUAUUAAGGUUUGAUUUUGUAUACGCGAAGGUGAUGAUUUCGUUAUGAGUAUCAACUCGAUCAUUGUGGAUAACUCAGGUGAAGUGGUAAGUUUAAAUUAACGUUUCAUAAUUGAUUUAUCUUCAGUUUGCGUUUAUUUGAGUUUGAAAUUGAAUUUGUUGAUUGGGUCUGCUUCAAUUUGGGUUAUUUAUGAGAUUGAUGUUUGUCAGACUAAAGAUGUUGGUAAAUAUACAGACCUGGAGUGGAUGUUUAAGGUUUGGGUUGAUCUCGCUGUGGUUGGGUGAAUUAGGUAUACGUCUGAAGUGAUGCAAUUGAAGUUUAAAUGAUUGUUUAGGGUCACUGCAAUGGUUUCUGAAGUUGAUGUGGACAUGGUAGAUUUGUGAUUCAACUGGUGGUGGUAUGAGUUGGAUAAAAGUGAGUAUUGCUUUGUUGGUGGCAGUGAAUAAAAGUUGUAGGUGGUGAUGCAGAUGGUUGUAACUGAAAGUUCUAGACAUGCAGUUAAAGUUGAUUGAAAUGGAUAAUUGUAUGGAUUGCAGAUUAUGAGUUUGGUGUUGAUACUGCUGAACUGUGGAUAAUCGAUGAGCCUGUGAUGAGUUGUUGAACUGGUUCAAGGGGAAGAAGAGUUUGAGUGCAAUUGUAUCAAUCAGACUAAUUUGAGGUUCUGUGGAAUUGGAAAUCGUAAGAGGUGUUAUUGAUGUCUGCAAUGGUUGGGACUAGAUGAAUGUUUGGAGUUUUGCGGAGGGAAUGGGUCUUGCCAGUGGGUUGAGUAUCUGGUGAUGUUAUAGUUGAAGUUAGAAUUAAGAGUGUUGCUUGACUGGUUGUAUCGGUUUAUCUGAUGAAUUACAAUUACAAGGAUGUGAAAUCGGAGGUACUGUUGGUGCUGAAUUAGGUGGGUGGUUGUGUUGAGAAUUGAAUGGAAGGAGUGAAUAUGUUGGAGUUAUGUGAGCUGUUAAAGUAUAUAGAGUUUGGGUUACAAGAUGAGUUGUAGUUGAGUUUAGUGAUGAUUAUAGAGUUGCAUUUAGUGGUUGUGAGUUCAGUAAAAGCUUAAAGGUGCAACUGCAAGUAGGUUGUAUUACCUUUGUAAUUCAAUUUGAAGUUUACUUGUUGAUUCAAUCAAUGUAUUAUUAGUUUGGAAUUAAACCUGAGUUAGAGUUGUA